rnacentral:rRNA from 1 species
UGACGCUGGCGGCAGGCUUAACACAUGCAAGUCGAGCGGGCGAAGGUUGCUUCGGUAACUGAGCUAGCGGCGGACGGGUGAGUAAUGCUUAGGAAUCUGCCUAUUAGUGGGGGACAACAUUCCGAAAGGAAUGCUAAUACCGCAUACGCCCUACGGGGGAAAGCAGGGGAUCUUCGGACCUUGCGCUAAUAGAUGAGCCUAAGUCAGAUUAGCUAGUUGGUGGGGUAAAGGCCUACCAAGGCGACGAUCUGUAGCGGGUCUGAGAGGAUGAUCCGCCACACUGGGACUGAGACACGGCCCAGACUCCUACGGGAGGCAGCAGUGGGGAAUAUUGGACAAUGGGCGCAAGCCUGAUCCAGCCAUGCCGCGUGUGUGAAGAAGGCCUUUUGGUUGUAAAGCACUUUAAGCGAGGAGGAGGCUACUUGGAUUAAUACUCUAGGAUAGUGGACGUUACUCGCAGAAUAAGCACCGGCUAACUCUGUGCCAGCAGCCGCGGUAAUACAGAGGGUGCGAGCGUUAAUCGGAUUUACUGGGCGUAAAGCGUGCGUAGGCGGCUUCUUAAAGUCGGAUGUGAAAUCCCUGAGCUUAACUUAGGAAUUGCAUUCGAUACUGGGA